rnacentral:rRNA from 1 species
UACGUAGGGUGCGAGCGUUGUCCGGAAUUAUUGGGCGUAAAGAGCUCGUAGGUGGCCUGUCGCGUCGGCUGUGAAGACUCGGGGCUCAACUCCGAGCUUGCAGUCGAUACGGGCAGGCUAGAGUUCGGCAGGGGAGACUGGAAUUCCUGGUGGUAGCGGUGAAAUGCGCAGAUAUCAGGAGGAACACCGGUGGCGAAGGCGGGUCUCUGGGCCGAUACUGACACUGAGGAGCGAAAGCGUGGGGAGCGAACAGG